AUUUACGUAGUUUAAAAAUAAAACAAUUUAUUUUCAAUAAAUAAAUAAUAUUAAUUAUUUGUAAAUU
rnacentral:tRNA from 3 species